rnacentral:rRNA from 1 species
AGCGUAGACGGUAUGGCAAGUCUGAUGUGAAAGGCAUGGGCUCAACCUGUGGACUGCAUUGGAAACUGUCAUACUUGAGUGCCGGAGGGGUAAGCGGAAUUUCUAGUGUAGCGGUGAAAUGCGUAGAUAUUAGGAGGAACACCAGUGGCGAAGGCGGCUUACUGGACGGUAACUGACACUGAGGCUCGAAAGCGUGGGAGCAAACA